rnacentral:rRNA from 1 species
GGAGAAAAGCAGGGGAUCGUAAGACCUUGCGCUUUUGGAGCGGCCGAUGUCUGAUUAGCUUGUUGGUAAGGUAAAAGCUUACCAAGGCUUCGAUCAGUAGCUGGUCUGAGAGGACGACCAGCCACACUGGGACUGAGACACGGCCCAGACUCCUACGGGAGGCAGCAGUGGGGAAUUUUGGACAAUGGGGGCAACCCUGAUCCAGCCAUGCCGCGUGAGUGAAGAAGGCCUUCGGGUUGUAAAGCUCUUUCAGCCGGAACGAAACGGUUACGGUUAAUACCCGUGACUACUGACGGUACCGGAAGAAGAAGCACCGGCUAACUACGUGCCAGCAGCCGCGGUAAUACGUAGGGUGCAAGCGUUAAUCGGAAUUACUGGGCGUAAAGCGUGCGCAGGUGGUUUUGUAAGUCAGAUGUGAAAUCCCCGGGCUUAACCUGGGAACUGCGUUUGAAACUACAAAGCUA